rnacentral:lncRNA from 1 species
CAGAUAGAGCAGACAAACAGAUGCUGUUAGGCUGACUGGCUGUGCUCUGGGUGCAGGGCUGCCUUAGGCACUGUGUGACCUCAGAGGCUAAAGGGUCAGCUGUAAUCCUGUGUCUGUUCAUUCAGCUAAUGUUUACUGAGCACUUACGAUGAGUCCGGCACUGAUCUCAGCACCGCGGAUGCCGCAGCGAACACCCUCCUGCCGGCACAAAGCGUGGGUUCUAGUGAGGGGGGAGAGCUGUAGGCAAAUGAGUAAAUCGUGCGUCCCACGGAGAACAGUCAUUAGGAGAGAGGUAGGGGUGGGGUCGAAGGCUGAAGUGGUGCAGCCUCACUGAGGAGUUGGCUUCUGAGUUAAACCCCGAAGGAGUGUGGUGGGGAACUGUGCAGAUAUCUGGGGGAAGAGCAUUGCAGGCAGCGGGAGCAGCCUGGGCAAAGACCCUGUGGUAGCAGCACACCUGCUGUGCUGGCAGAACACACCUGCCAUGUUGGCGGAACAGCCAGGAGCUGGAAAGGAGGGGGCACGGGGGCAGUGGCAGGAGUGGAGACCUGAGAAUUAUAGGAGGCCAGGUCACCUGGUCCACUUUGCUGAUUGUAUUUUUCACUUGUGUUCAGCAUGAGAUAGGAGCUGUUGGAGGGGGUGUGGCCUUGCUUAGCUGGUGUGUUGCUCCUUCUGGCUGCUGUGUGAUGGGGGAUGGGGACAGAGGCCAGGAGGCUGUUACAGUCUCCCAGGUGAGAUAUCGUGCACCAGACAGAGAUGGGGAGAGGAUCCUGGAUGUAUUUGAAGGUGGAGUUGAUAGGAAUUGUGAGUGGAAAAGACAGGUGUGGGAGAGAAGAGUCAAAGAUGAAUCCUGGCCAGGUGCAGUGGCUCACGCCUGUGAUCCAAGAACUUUGGGAGGCCGAGGUGGGAGGAUCACUCG